rnacentral:rRNA from 1 species
CCUACGGGGUGCAGCAGUGAGGAAUAUUGGUCAAUGGACGAGAGUCUGAACCAGCCAAGUAGCGUGAAGGAUGACUGCCCUAUGGGUUGUAAACUUCUUUUAUAUGGGAAUAAAAUGUUCCACGUGUGGGAUUUUGUAUGUACCAUAUGAAUAAGGAUCGGCUAACUCCGUGCCAGCAGCCGCGGUAAUACGGAGGAUCCGAGCGUUAUCCGGAUUUAUUGGGUUUAAAGGGAGCGUAGGUGGAUUGUUAAAUCAGUUGUGAAAGUUUGCGGCUCAACCGUAAAAUUGCAGUUGAAACUGGCAGUCUUGAGUACAGUAGAGGUGGGCGGAAUUCGUGGUGUAGCGGUGAAAUGCUUAGAUAUCACGAAGAACUCCGAUUGCGAAGGCAGUUCACUGGACUGCAACUGACACUGAGGCUCGAAAGUGUGGGUAUCAAACAGGAUUAGAUACCCUAGUAGUC